rnacentral:rRNA from 1 species
UACGGAGGGGGCUAGCGUUGUUCGGAAUUACUGGGCGUAAAGCGCACGUAGGCGGCUUUGCAAGUUAGAGGUGAAAGCCCGGGGCUCAACUCCGGAAUUGCCUUUAAAACUGCAUCGCUAGAAUUGUGGAGAGGUAAGUGGAAUUCCGAGUGUAGAGGUGAAAUUCGUAGAUAUUCGGUAAGAACACCAGUGGCGAAGGCGACUUACUGGACACAUAUUGACGCUGAGGUGCGAAAGCGUGGGGAGCAAACAGG